rnacentral:rRNA from 1 species
UGGGGAAUUUUGCUCAAUGGGGGAAACCCUGAAGCAGCGAUGCCGCGUGAGGGACGAAGGUCUUCGGAUUGUAAACCUCCUUUACAGAAGAAAAAUGGCGUGGUGAAUAACCACGUCUGAUGGUACUCUGUGAAUAAGCCACGGCUAACUUCGUGCCAGCAGCCGCGGUAAGACGAAGGUGGCGAGCGUUACUCGGAAUUACUAGGCGUAAAGCGUGGGCAGGCGGUUCAGUAAGUCUGUUGUGGAAGCUCCCGGCUCAACCGGGAGAGGCCAAUGGAAACUGCUGAGCUUGAAUUGAGGAGGGGUCACUGGAAUUCCCGGUGUAGCGGUGAAAUGCGUAGAUAUCGGGAGGAACAUCCAUGGCGAAAGCAGGUGACUGGACUCAUAUUGACGCUCAUCCACGAAAGCUGGGGGAUCAAACAGG